AUUGAACGCUGGCGGCAGGCCUAACACAUGCAAGUCGAGCGGAGCGGCGGACGGGUGAGUAAUGCCUAGGAAUCUGCCUGGUAGUGGGGGAUAACGUCCGGAAACGGGCGCUAAUACCGCAUACUAUCAGAUGAGCCUAGGCCGGAUUAGCUAGUUGGUGGGGUAAAGGCCUACCAAGGCGACGAUCCGUAUCUGGUCCGAGAGGAUGAUCAGUCACACUGGAACUGAGAAACGGUCCAGACUCCUACGGGAGGCAGCAGUGGGGAAUAUUGGACAAUGGGCGAAAGCCUGAUACAGCCAUGCCGCGUGUGUGAAGAAGGCCUUCGGGUUGUAAAGCACUUUCAGCGGGGAGGCGUUACCCGCAGAAGAAGCACCGGCUAACUCCGUGCCAGUAGCCGCGGUAAUUC
rnacentral:rRNA from 1 species